rnacentral:misc_RNA from 1 species
UACGGAGGGUGCAAGCGUUGUUCGGAAUUAUUGGGCGUAAAGCGCACGUAGGCGGACCGUUAAGUCAGAUGUGAAAUCCCUCGGCUCAACCGAGGACGUGCAUUUGAUACUGGCGGUCUUGAGUCCCGGAGAGGGUGGCGGAAUUCCCAGUGUAGAGGUGAAAUUCGUAGAUAUUGGGAGGAACACCGGCGGCGAAGGCGGCCACCUGGACGGUGACUGACGCUGAGGUGCGAAAGCGUGGGUAGCAAACAGG